AUGGCAGGACCAGCAUUUGGAAAGUUUCUUCCACUCUUUGGAAGAAAGUAUUGGUUGAAAGGCAAAUAUUGGUUGAAAGGAGUGCAGCAGAAACUGUAACCAAAGGAGACAUUAGGCUUCCAGAAAAAUCUAAAGGAAAAGUAUUGCAAGCAAUAGUAGUGGCUGCUGGAUGAGGCUAUAAGGGAAAAGGUGGAGAGAUUCAACCAGUUAGCAUGAAAGUCAAAAAUAAAUUUCCUCCAGAAUAUGGAGACACCAAAAUAGUUCUAGAUGACAAGGAUUGUAUCUUAUUAAGAGAUGGCAGACAUUCUUGAAAAGUAUGUAGACUGA
rnacentral:lncRNA from 1 species